rnacentral:rRNA from 1 species
GAUGAACGCUGGCGGCAUGCCUAACACAUGCAAGUCGAACGAACGCACGGGAAGCUUGCUCCCCUGAGGUUAGCGGGGGACGGGUGAGUAACACAUGGAUAACCUACCUCUAAGACUGGGAUAAUUACGGGGGACCGGAUCUACUACCGGAUAAUAUUUUGAACCGCAUGGUGCAAGAGUUAAAGACGGUCUUGGUGACACUAAUAGCUGAAUCCGGGCUGGAUUAGCUAGUUGGUAAGGUAACGGCUUACCAAGGCAACGAUGCAUAGCCGACCUGAGAGGGUGAUCGGCCACACUGGAAGUGAGACACGGCACAGACUCCUACGGUAGGCAGCAGUAGGGAAUCUUACGCAAUGGGCGAAAGCGUGAUAGAGCAAAGCCGCGUGAGUGAUGAAGGUGUUCGGAUGGGAAAGCGCUGUUGUUAGGAAAGAAGAAAUGUGUAAGUAACCGUGCACAUCUUGACGGUACCGAAAGAGUAAGCCCCGGCUAACUACGUG